GAUGAAGAACGUAGCGAAACGCGAUAGGUAAUGUGAAUUGCAGAAUUCCGUGAAUCAUCGAAUCUUUGAACGCACAUUGCGCCCGCCAGUAUUCUGGCGGGCAUGCCUGUCUGAGCGUCAUUUCAACCCUCAUGCCCCUAGGGCGUGGUGUUGGGGAUCGGCCAAAGCCCGCGAGGGACGGCCGGCCCCUAAAUCUAGUGGCGGACCCGUCGUGGCCUCCUCUGCGAAGUAGUGAUAUUCCGCAUCGGAGAGCGAUGAGCCCCUGCCGUUAAACCCCCAACUUUCCAAGGUUGACCUCAGAUCAGGUAGGAAUACCCGCUGAACUUAAGCAUAUCAAUAAGCGGAGGA
rnacentral:misc_RNA from 1 species